UACGUAGGGUGCAAGCGUUAAUCGGAAUUACUGGGCGUAAAGCGUGCGCAGGCGGUUAUGUAAGACAGAUGUGAAAUGCCCGGGCUUAACCUGGGAACUGCAUUUGUGACUGCAUGGCUAGAGUGUGUCAGAGGGGGGUAGAAUUCCACGUGUAGCAGUGAAAUGCGUAGAUAUGUGGAGGAAUACCGAUGGCGAAGGCAGCCCCCUGGGAUAACACUGACGCUCAUGCACGAAAGCGUGGGAGCAAACAGG
rnacentral:rRNA from 1 species